UCGCGCACGGUUUCCGUCAGUCGCAGCGGCCAUUGGCUGUUAGAGGGAUUUAAGAGCGGCGAUUGGCUCUCGCUGGCCGUCGCUCAAGCGCCCUUCCGGAGAUGGUUCGAGGUGGGAAGAGCUGGAGAGAGCCGGCGGCGGAGGGACGGGUGAAGGCCAUGCCACCCCCGGCGAAAGUUCUCCGAAAGGAGAACCUGGGGCUCCAGUGCGAGUGGGGGUCCUGCUCCUUUGUGUGCUCAGCCAUGGAGGAGUUCUGCGAGCAUGUCACUCAGCACCUGCAGCAGCACCUGCACGGCUCCGGGGAGGAGGAGGAGGAGGAGGAGGACCCACUUGAGGAGGAAUUCUCCUGCUUGUGGCAGGAGUGUGGCUUUUGUUCUAUGGACAGUUCAGCUGACCUCAUCCGCCACGUUUACUUCCACUGCUACCACACCAAGCUGAAGCAGUGGGGGCUGCAGGCCCUGCAGAGCCAGGCCAACCUCAGCCCCUGCAUCCUGGACUUCCAGAGCCGCAACAUCAUCCCCGACAUCCCUGACCACUUCCUGUGUCUGUGGGAGCACUGUGAGAGUUCCUUCGACAAUCCUGAGUGGUUCUAUCGGCACGUGGAAGCGCACAGCCUAUGCUGUGAGUACCAGGCGAUCGGCAAGGACAACCAUGUGGUGCUGUGUGGCUGGAAAGGCUGUACCUGCACCUUCAAGGACUGCCGGAAGCUUCGAGAGCACCUCCGCAGCCAUACCCAGGAAAAGGUGGUGGCCUGCCCCACCUGUGGGGGCAUGUUUGCCAACAACACUAAGUUCUUAGAUCACAUCCGUCGCCAGACCUCUUUGGAUCAGCAGCGCUUCCAGUGCUCUCACUGUUCCAAGAGAUUUGCCACAGAGCGGCUCUUGCGGGACCAUAUGCGUAACCACGUGAAUCACUAUAAGUGCCCUCUAUGUGAUAUGACCUGUCCGCUGCCAUCCUCCCUCCGAAACCACAUGCGCUUUCGCCACAGCGAGGACCGGCCCUUCAAGUGUGACUGUUGUGACUACAGCUGCAAGAAUCUGAUUGACCUGCGGAAGCACCUGGAUACCCACAGCAAAGAGCCAGCCUACAGGUGUGAUUUUGAGAACUGCAGCUUCAGUGCGCGAUCCCUCUGCUCUAUCAAGUCCCAUUACCGAAAAGUGCAUGAAGGAGACUCAGAGCCAAGGUACAAGUGUCAUGUGUGUGACAAAUGCUUCACAAGGGGCAACAACCUCACUGUACAUCUUCGUGAGAAGCACCAGUUCAAGUGGCCCUCAGGGCACCCCCGUUUUCGGUACAAGGAGCAUGAAGACGGCUACAUGCGGCUGCAGCUGGUUCGCUACGAGAGUGUGGAGCUGACACAGCAGCUGCUUCGGCAGCCGCAAGAGGGAUCAGGCCUGGGAGCGUCGCUGAAUGAGACCAGCCUGCAGGGCAUCAUUCUCGAAGCAGUGCCGGGGGAGCCAGGACCCCAGGAGGAGGCUGAAGAGGAGGGGGAGGGCGGGAGCAGCCAGGGGACAGGCCUCCCAGCCUCUCAGGACACUCCCAGCCCCGUCAUCCAUGUGGUGAAUCAGACCAAUGCCCAAGGCGAGCAAGAGAUUGUCUACUAUGUGCUGUCGGAAGCCCCGGGAGAGCCCCCCCCAGCCCCUGAGUCCCCCUCAGGGGACGUCAUGGAAAAGCUUCAGGGAAUAGCUGAGGAGCCAGAAGGGUUGGUGUGAAGGCUACGGAGCCUGACUGUUUCCACCCCAGGCCCCAGGGUUUGUGCCGGUCUGCUGGCUGUGCCCCGAGCGGGCAGCCCCUGCCGAUGGAGGCCUUUAAGAGUGGUGCCAAGAGCAGUGCGGUGUGCUCUGGACCCGGCCUGUGUCAUGCAGCAGACUCUGAAGGCUUCCCUUUUCUGCCGGACCACAUGUGUUGGGGGAUCCUGAGGAGUCUGGAUUCCUUGAGGAGGAUGCCCUGGUCCUGUGUGUUCUUGUAGAGGGGCUAGUAUCAGGCUUACCCGUAACCCCCAGUCAUGCUGAGAUGGUGACCAAAAUUCUGUCACCUCGUACCCAGUCCCGUCUUUAAGGGUCCUUAGGUCCAGCGAUGCCGUGUAACUGGUCCCUGCAAGGGCCUUUUCCUCAAAACCAGCCAAGGCAGCGUGAGCCAGUGAGGAGAUGCAGCUGCCCGGAAGAGGAGCUGAAUCGUUCGGCUUGUUCUUCUAGUGACUGAGGUUCAUUUAACUUUCUUCUUGUUCCCCUCCCCCCACCCCUUGGUGAAACUUCUCCAUUUCUUCAAGCAUCUACCGCCUUCCUGGAGGUCCCGUUUGUGGACACAAGUAGUGCUCUAGAAUGCGCACGCGCGCCUCAUCAGGAAAAGAGCACCUGGCUGCAGACAUGCCCUCUGAGUUCUGGUUAGAUACCCAGUAUCUCUGGUGGAGGGGUUUCCACCUGUGGGACUGGGAGGGAAGCCUCUAGGUGGGCGGGGGGAGGUGGAUCUGGGGGCCCUAGGGAAUGGCAGGUACUCUAGUUUUAGGAACCAAGUUAGAAAAGGGGGAAGGGGGCGCCUGGGUGGCUCAGUGAGUUAAGCCACUGCCUUCGGCUCAGGUCAUGACCUCAGGGUCCUGGGAUCGAGUCCCGCAUGGGGCUCUCUGCUCAGCAGGGAGCCUGCUUCCCUCUCUCUGCCUGCCUCUCUACUGUGAUCUCUGUGAAAUAAAUAAAUAAAAUCUUUGAAAAAAAAUAAUAAAAGGGGGAAAGGUUCUGUUUUUCA